GUGUUGUAUGAAAGGAGAGGAGGUUGGCACUCUCCUUGCUAAGUAUGGAAGAGUCACUAGUGGUCUUAUGACACUCAGUGUUUAUGGCAUCAUCAUCUACACAGUGGCAUCUAACCAUGUUUUUUG